UUGUUUCAUAUCUUAGUUUCCUUUAUCUCAUCAUAUGUUUAUUCAGUUCCACCUUAUGUUUCUUAAUUCACUGAGCAGGCAAGGUGAUUGCUCCUCCAAAGCACUUUCUGUAGGAUUGGUGGCUGUCGUAACAAGGUUUUUUCACCUUAAAUUUAGGAGGGACAUGUUUCUAAUUAGAGUGAGAUCUCACCACACUGAGUUGAAUCACCCCAUGCCAAGCUACUUUAUUUGUGCAUAUGUCAAUUAUUUGACUCCUUGCUUCUGUCAAAAGUUUGAUACUUUUGAUUUCUAGGACUUGACGGUAGGUCAGUUUUCAUUGGCGGCUUUGGUUGCGAUGGAUAAGGGAGGUGAACUUUUGCCAACAGGUUUGGCUCGUAUCCAGGACUCGCUGGUAUGGUUUCGCCAAGCGCUUUGGUUGUGAGGGCUAAGGGAGGUGAACAACAUAUGGGAGAGAAAGGGAAAGAUGGGGAGGUUGCGCGAUGUCUCCUGGAUGGGGUGGAUGGGGAUUCUCCUCUUGGUAUCUAUGUCCCUGUUGUGUUGGGAGAUUCCGUGUACUCAGGUUCUGUUCAUUGGGAGGUUGACACUUUUUCAGCUGGUUUAUGAAGUUGGCUCUCAAGGGUGGCAAGUCAUGAGCCCUAUAGGUUGUAGGCUAUACAGAUUUGGGUAUAUAAUAGUUGCUUUCUCUUUUGUGCAUGUCUUCUGUUAUUUAUGUUCAUUGGCCACGCAAUUUAAAUUAAAAGUAAGCAGGGAACUGGAAAGAGUUACCACAAUUCCUAUUGAAUAUUGUGCACAAUUUAUGAUGCUAAGGUGCCUCUGCAUUGUCUGAAAGCUGUCCCCUGUUUAAGAGAUGAGCACAUGAUGAUUUUAA